rnacentral:rRNA from 1 species
CGACGGCGGUGUUUGGCACCUCGAUGUCGGCUCAUCACAUCCUGGGGCUGAAGUAGGUCCCAAGGGUAUGGCUGUUCGCCAUUUAAAGUGGUACGCGAGCUGGGUUUAGAACGUCGUGAGACAGUUCGGUCCCUAUCUGCCGUGGGCGCUGGAGAACUGAGGGGGGCUGCUCCUAGUACGAGAGGACCGGAGUGGACGCAUCACUGGUGUUCGGGUUGUCAUGCCAAUGGCACUGCCCGGUAGCUAAAUGCGGAAGAGAUAAGUGCUGAAAGCAUCUAAGCACGAAACUUGC